rnacentral:rRNA from 1 species
AGUAACACGUGGAUAACCUACAUAUAAGACUGGGAUAACUUCGGGAAACCGGAGCUAAUACCGGAUAAUAUUUUGAACCGCAUGGUUCAAAAGUGAAAGGCGGUCUUGCUGUCACUUAUAGAUGGAUCCGCGCUGCAUUAGCUAGUUGGUAAGGUAACGGCUUACCAAGGCAACGAUGCAUAGCCGACCUGAGAGGGUGAUCGGCCACACUGGAACUGAGACACGGUCCAG